UACAGGGGGUGCAAACGUUGCUCGGAAUCACUGGGCGUAAAGCGCACGUAGGCGGUUCGUUAUGUCGGAUGUGAAAGCCCUUGGCUUAACCGAGGAAGUGCAUCCGAAACUGGCGAGCUAGAGUACUAAAGAGGAUCGCGGAAUUCCCGGUGUAGAGGUGAAAUUCGUAGAUAUCGGGAGGAACACCGGUGGCGAAGGCGGCGAUCUGGGUAGAUACUGACGCUGAGGUGCGAAAGCGUGGGGAGCAAACAGG
rnacentral:rRNA from 1 species